rnacentral:rRNA from 1 species
UUAAGUUAUUAAGGGCGCACGGUGGAUGCCUUGGCACUAGAAGCCGAUGAAGGACGUUACUAACGACGAUAUGCUUUGGGGAGCUGUAAGUAAGCUUUGAUCCAGAGAUUUCCGAAUGGGGAAACCCAGCAUGAGUUAUGUCAUGUUAUCGAUAUGUGAAUACAUAGCAUAUCAGAAGGCACACCCGGAGAACUGAAACAUCUUAGUACCCGGAGGAAGAAAAAGAAAAUUCGAUUCCCUUAGUAGCGGCGAGCGAAACGGGAAGAGCCCAAACCAACAAGCUUGCUUGUUGGGGUUGUAGGACACUCUAUACGGAGUUACAAAGGACGACAUUAGACGAAUCAUCUGGAAAGAUGAAUCAAAGAAGGUAAUAAUCCUGUAGUCGAAAAUGUUGUCUCUCUUGAGUGGAUCCUGAGUACGACGGAACACGUGAAAUUCCGUCGGAAUCUGGGAGGACCAUCUCCUAAGGCUAAAUACUCUCUAGUGACCGAUAGUGAACCAGUACCGUGAGGGAAAGGUGAAAAGCACCCCGGAAGGGGAGUGAAAUAGAACCUGAAACCGUGUGCUUACAAGUAGUCAGAGCCCGUUAAUGGGUGAUGGCGUGCCUUUUGUAGAAUGAACCGGCGAGUUACGAUUUGAUGCAAGGUUAAGCAGUAAAUGUGGAGCCGUAGCGAAAGCGAGUCUGAAUAGGGCGUUUAGUAUUUGGUCGUAGACCCGAAACCAGGUGAUCUACCCUUGGUCAGGUUGAAGUUCAGGUAACACUGAAUGGAGGACCGAACCGACUUACGUUGAAAAGUGAGCGGAUGAACUGAGGGUAGCGGAGAAAUUCCAAUCGAACCUGGAGAUAGCUGGUUCUCUCCGAAAUAGCUUUAGGGCUAGCCUCAAGUGAUGAUUAUUGGAGGUAGAGCACUGUUUGGACGAGGGGCCCCUCUCGGGUUACCGAAUUCAGACAAACUCCGAAUGCCAAUUAAUUUAACUUGGGAGUCAGAACAUGGGUGAUAAGGUCCGUGUUCGAAAGGGAAACAGCCCAGACCACCAGCUAAGGUCCCAAAAUAUAUGUUAAGUGGAAAAGGAUGUGGCGUUGCCCAGACAACUAGGAUGUUGGCUUAGAAGCAGCCAUCAUUUAAAGAGUGCGUAAUAGCUCACUAGUCGAGUGACACUGCGCCGAAAAUGUACCGGGGCUAAACAUAUUACCGAAGCUGUGGAUUGUCCUUUGGACAAUGGUAGGAGAGCGUUCUAAGGGCGUUGAAGCAUGAUCGUAAGGACAUGUGGAGCGCUUAGAAGUGAGAAUGCCGGUGUGAGUAGCGAAAGACGGGUGAGAAUCCCGUCCACCGAUUGACUAAGGUUUCCAGAGGAAGGCUCGUCCGCUCUGGGUUAGUCGGGUCCUAAGCUGAGGCCGACAGGCGUAGGCGAUGGAUAACAGGUUGAUAUUCCUGUACCACCUAUAAUCGUUUUAAUCGAUGGGGGGACGCAGUAGGAUAGGCGAAGCGUGCGAUUGGAUUGCACGUCUAAGCAGUAAGGCUGAGUAUUAGGCAAAUCCGGUACUCGUUAAGGCUGAGCUGUGAUGGGGAGAAGACAUUGAGUCUUCGAGUCGUUGAUUUCACACUGCCGAGAAAAGCCUCUAGAUAGAAAAUAGGUGCCCGUACCGCAAACCGACACAGGUAGUCAAGAUGAGAAUUCUAAGGUGAGCGAGCGAACUCUCGUUAAGGAACUCGGCAAAAUGACCCCGUAACUUCGGGAGAAGGGGUGCUCUUUAGGGUUAACGCCCAGAAGAGCCGCAGUGAAUAGGCCCAAGCGACUGUUUAUCAAAAACACAGGUCUCUGCUAAACCGUAAGGUGAUGUAUAGGGGCUGACGCCUGCCCGGUGCUGGAAGGUUAAGAGGAGUGGUUAGCUUCUGCGAAGCUACGAAUCGAAGCCCCAGUAAACGGCGGCCGUAACUAUAACGGUCCUAAGGUAGCGAAAUUCCUUGUCGGGUAAGUUCCGACCCGCACGAAAGGCGUAACGAUUUGGGCACUGUCUCAACGAGAGACUCGGUGAAAUCAUAGUACCUGUGAAGAUGCAGGUUACCCGCGACAGGACGGAAAGACCCCGUGGAGCUUUACUGUAGCCUGAUAUUGAAAUUCGGCACAGCUUGUACAGGAUAGGUAGGAGCCUUUGAAACGUGAGCGCUAGCUUACGUGGAGGCGCUGGUGGGAUACUACCCUAGCUGUGUUGGCUUUCUAACCCGCACCACUUAUCGUGGUGGGAGACAGUGUCAGGCGGGCAGUUUGACUGGGGCGGUCGCCUCCUAAAAGGUAACGGAGGCGCUCAAAGGUUCCCUCAGAAUGGUUGGAAAUCAUUCAUAGAGUGUAAAGGCAUAAGGGAGCUUGACUGCGAGACCUACAAGUCGAGCAGGGUCGAAAGACGGACUUAGUGAUCCGGUGGUUCCGCAUGGAAGGGCCAUCGCUCAACGGAUAAAAGCUACCCCGGGGAUAACAGGCUUAUCUCCCCCAAGAGUUCACAUCGACGGGGAGGUUUGGCACCUCGAUGUCGGCUCAUCGCAUCCUGGGGCUGUAGUCGGUCCCAAGGGUUGGGCUGUUCGCCCAUUAAAGCGGUACGCGAGCUGGGUUCAGAACGUCGUGAGACAGUUCGGUCCCUAUCCGUCGUGGGCGUAGGAAAUUUGAGAGGAGCUGUCCUUAGUACGAGAGGACCGGGAUGGACAUACCUCUGGUGUACCAGUUGUCGUGCCAACGGCAUAGCUGGGUAGCUAUGUGUGGACGGGAUAAGUGCUGAAAGCAUCUAAGCAUGAAGCCCCCCUCAAGAUGAGAUUUCCCAACUUCGAUUAUAAGAUCCCUCAAAGAUGAUGAGGUUAAUAGGUUCGAGGUGGAAGCAUGGUGACAUGUGGAGCUGACGAAUACUAAUCGAUCGAAGACUUAAUCAA